UACGUAGGGGGCAAGCGUUGUCCGGAUCAUUGGGCGUAAAGAGCGUGUAGGCGGCCAGGUAGGUCGGUUGUGAAAACUGGAGGCUCAACCUUCAGAGGUCGACCGAAACCAUCUGGCUAGAGUCCGGGAGAGGAGAGUGGAAUUCCUGGUGUAGCGGUGAAAUGCGCAGAUAUCAGGAAGAACACCCGUGGCGAAAGCGGCUCUCUGGAACGGUACUGACGCUGAGACGCGAAAGCGUGGGGAGCGAACAGG
rnacentral:rRNA from 1 species